ACACGUGGGUAACCUGCCUUAUAGUGGGGGAUAGCCUUUCGAAAGGAAGAUUAAUACCGCAUAAGAUUGUAGUAUCGCAUGAUAUAGCAAUUAAAGGAGCAAUUCGCUAUAAGAUGGACCCGCGUCGCAUUAGCUAGUUGGUGAGGUAAUGGCUCACCAAGGCGACGAUGCGUAGCCGACCUGAGAGGGUGAUCGGCCACAUUGGAACUGAGACACGGUCCAGACUCCUACGGGAGGCAGCAUG
rnacentral:rRNA from 1 species